CCAGGUUCGGCACAAACGCAGUUAUGUGUUGGUUAAAAAAACGCCCAGGUUCAGCACAAACGCAGCUAUGCGUUGGUUAAAAAAACGCCCAGGUUCAGCACAAACGCAGUUAUGUGUUGGUUAA